UAUAUACUCAUUCCGUUCGGAAAUACUUGUCAUCAAAUAAAUGUAUCUACAUGUAUUUUAGUUUUAGAUACAUACAUUUUUAUUUAUUUAUAUGACAAGUAAUUCUCGACGGAGGGAGUAUUUC
rfam:Hordeum vulgare subsp. vulgare, WGS project CAJW01000000 data, contig: morex_contig_55613